rnacentral:rRNA from 1 species
AACAAACGCUGGCGGCGUGCCUAAUACAUGCAAGUCGAACGGGGAAAGCUUUCGGGUGAGUACUAGUGGCGCACGGGUGAGUAACGCGUGGAUAAUCUGCCUUAGAGUGGGGGAUAACUAGUCGAAAGAUUAGCUAAUACCGCAUAAGACCACAAGAACUGCGGUUCAAGGGGUCAAAGGUUUUUCGCUCUAAGAUGAGUCCGCGUAAGAUUAGCUAGUUGGUAGGGUAACGGCCUACCAAGGCGACGAUCUUUAACUGGUCUGAGAGGAUGACCAGUCACACUGGAACUGAGACACGGUCCAGACUCCUACGGGCGGCAGCAGUAGGGAAUAUUGCACAAUGGAGGAAACUCUGAUGCAGCGACGCCGCGUGAGUGAUGAAGGCCUUCGGGUCGUAAAGCUCUGUCGCAGGGGAAUAACACAAUGAAGGUACCCUGUAAGAAAGGAUCGGCUAACUUCGUGCCAGCAGCCGCGGUAAAAC